GAACAGGAGCGCCGUCACCACGUGCAUUUGCCCGCUUCCGGCGGAAUAAAACUCCUCCCGACCUGCUCUGUUCCAUGUGCCCCCUCUGCCACUUUAACACCUUUGUCCCUUUCCUUGAAGGUGUCACAUCUUCUGUCCCCAGACUCAGGAAGUCGGUCCUUGUUUUACCUGAAUCCUCUGAAUAGACUUCAGGGAAAGGAGAAGGUCAAGGGAAAAGUUUCAACAUGGGAGAGUAUGGUGUCAAGAUAA
rnacentral:lncRNA from 1 species